CCUACGGGGUGCAGCAGUGGGGAAUAUUGGACAAUGGGCGAAAGCCUGAUCCAGCCAUGCCGCGUGUGUGAAGAAGGCCUUCGGGUUGUAAAGCACUUUCAGUGGGGAAGAAAGCCUUGGGGCUAAUACCCUCGAGGAAGGACAUCACCCACAGAAGAAGCACCGGCUAACUCCGUGCCAGCAGCCGCGGUAAUACGGAGGGUGCGAGCGUUAAUCGGAAUUACUGGGCGUAAAGCGCGCGUAGGCGGUCUGAUAAGCCGGUUGUGAAAGCCCCGGGCUCAACCUGGGAACGGCAUCCGGAACUGUCAGGCUAGAGUGCAGGAGAGGAAGGUAGAAUUCCCGGUGUAGCGGUGAAACGCGUAGAGAUCGGGAGGAAUACCAGUGGCGAAGGCGGCCUUCUGGACUGACACUGACGCUGAGGUGCGAAAGCGUGGGUAGCAAACAGGAUUAGAUACCCGAGUAGUC
rnacentral:rRNA from 1 species